GCGUUGGGCCCAGUACGCAGGCCCGCCGAGUGGCCAAUGAAGGCUGGAGGCCCGCGGUGUAGAGACGGUCAGCCCCGGAGCCGCGUCCCGCACCCGGCCAUCCCGGACACAAUUUCCUGACUCCAAGGUAGCAAGCUGGUGUUCAAACAAAGUAUGAUAACCGUGCCUAUCUGAAGAGCGAGACCUCACAGACAUAGACAUGUCUACUAUGAAACCCUGUUAUUAGUAGUUCCCCUCUGAUAUGUGUGAGGUUUUUCUUUUCAUCCUUCUUGGGAUUAUAAUGUUUUACAAAGAGAAACUUGAAGUACUUACUGAUGAAGAUCAAAGACUAUAGCCUUCAGUAUGAAUUGCACCUCAACAUAAAGAAAAAAAAUACAACCAGACCAAUAAGCAAUAUCAUGGUAAACGGAGAAAAUAUUGAAGUUAUCAAGAACUUCAUUUUACUUGGAUCUACAAUCAACACCCAUGGAAGCAGAAAUCAAGAAAUCAGAUGAUGUAUUGCAUUGGGCAAAUCAGUGGCAAAAGACAUAUUUAAAGUGUUGAAAAGCAAAGAUAUCGCUUUGAGGACUAAGGUGUGCCUGAACAAAACCAUGAUGUUUUCAAUUGCGUCAUAUACAUGUAAAAGCUGGACAAUGAACAAGGAAGAUCAAGGAAGAACUGACACCUUAGAAAUAUGGUGUUGACAAAGAACAUUGAAUAUACAUGAACUGCCAGAAGGAUGAACAAAUCUGUCUUGGAAGAAGUACAAUCAGAGUGUCCCUUAGAAGCAAAGAUGGCGAGACUUCAUCUCACAUACUUUGGAUAUGUUAUCAGGAGGGACAAGUCUCUGGAGAAGGACAUCAUGCUUGGUAAAGUAGAGGGUUAAGGACAAAGAGGAAGGCCCUCAAUGAGGUGGACUGACACAGUGGCUACAACAAACAUAACAAAGAUUGUGAGGAUGGCACAGGACCAGGCAGUGUUUCACUGUGUUGUACAUAGGGUACCUAUGAGUCAGAACAGACUCAAAGACACCUAACAAUAACAAUGACAAUAUUCCCCUUUUAUACUUGACUUUUCUACAAGUCAACCCAAACUACUUUAAAAUUCUCCAAAAUAAUGUAACAAUAUAGCUUGAAUCCUUCAUGACAAUCCUAACUUAAAAUAAUCUGUUGCUAUGUUAGUGCACAUUUCACACAUUAUGCUUGAUCCAAUGCCAUGGUGAUUCUGGGUCUUGGUAUUAUCCCUACCAUAUACAAUGGAAUCAAGUUCUACUAAAUUCGAGAAGUUCAUAAAAAGUAAGACCAGAAUGGUGCUUAUAGCAGAAUGUCUGAUGCUCAGUUUUGGCAAAUUGUAAGAAGAGUUUGAAGUACACUACAAACUCUGACAAGCAGUUAUAUAUUUAGGAUGCCAUGAAAACUAAAGAUGUGUAUUGGUAACUGACCCACAGUGUUCAUGACAAUUACGGAACCAGUGGUCAUCACUGGAAAGUACUUGUAUUCAUUGUGGCUAAACUGAAUGCCUCGUUUUAGAGAACAGAAAGCCUUCGUAAGUUUUCUUAAAGUUCUAUUUAUGAUUAUCCACUUAGGUAAAAGGGAAGUAACAAAUACAGAAUAUGAUAGAUUUUAGACAGUACACUUUAAAUUUAUAUUGAAUCUAAGAUUUGUACUAAUCUUCAAGCCCUGAUCACAAAAAUAUUCCUUAUGUUUUGCUUCUAGCAACCCUAGGAGCUGGGGAAUUUGGACCUUCCCAUGGGCAGAUAUGUCAGUCAUGGGCUCUUAUCCUCGUCUUUAGAGUCUUAGGAUCCUGUAAUAUGAGAGACAGAAUGACCACAUUGGGCUUCAUGCCUUCAGGUUGCGUUUAGAAAAACCUUUUUUUUUUUUUUUUGUCACAACAGGGGAAUGAGGAAUGAAAAGGAUGUAUGUCUGGAUGGUCACAGUGACCCCACUUGUGGCCUACCGCACCAAACUGAAAGCAAAUCAGUGUGUGCAGUCCCCAUUGCAAGCCCUGAGCUGACUGGAGGGUGGAAGGAGAACUGAUCAAGAUGAGGAACUCACUUUUAUCUUCUUGCUUUCUGGGCUUGUACUUUAAAAAAUGAGACAUACAGACAUCUCUUUUGGUUCUCUAAAUCUUCCUUGCCCCUUCUGGUCUGUUUCCCUGCACUAAGAUGGCCAGUAUGGUCGCCUUCUUCUCCACCUUAGCCUAUAUUAGCUCUACAGAUAGUAAAGAUUCAGGCAGCAUAUGGGACACAUGAUACAGCCUAAUAUGUCAGUAACUAGUGAAAAUAAAUUUCUCCUUCUACCUGUUCAUAGUCUGGAAGCUGUGCUGUUUUCCCCAUGGUGGAAGUAAAACCAUCUUCAUUCUUAGCACCUGGUAAUAAGGAUUCUCCCUAGUUUUAAGGAUCAUGAUGUGUUUGUGUUUGGAUGGGUGGGGAAAGGGAAAGAAAAAUUGUUUUUCCAGGUACUUGAGAAUUCAGAAGAGAUAUUAACAUCUGCAUAAAUAUUUAUGUACAGCGAUGUUUAUCAUUAUGUUACUGACAAGAUUUGGAAAAUUGGAAACAAUAAAAAUAUUGAAAAAUGUUUACCAAAAAAAUCAAACCCACUGCCAUCGAGUGAAUUCUGCAUCAUAGCCGCCCUAUAAGACAGAGUAGAAAUGUCCCAUAGGGUUUCCAAGGCUGUAAAAUCUCUGUGGAAGCAGACAGCCACAUCUUUGUCCUGCAGAGCACCUGGUGGGUUCAUAUCUCAAAUCACUAACAUUUUAUUUGGCAGCUGAGCAUGUUAACCACUGUGCCACCAGGGCUGUAUAUUAAAAAUAGUUAACAUCUAAUUAGUUGGAUUGUGAGCAUUUCUUCUAAUACGCAUUUUUAAUGAAUUCCUUAUAAUUAAUAUGGAAUUAAUAUGGGUGAUUAUUUUUGGAAUCUCUAAAGUUAAUUUUAUUUCUUUAAGUAGCAAAGCCACUGACUAAAGUCAAAUAUUUUUAAAAAUCAGUUUUAUCCAUUUAUUUGAUAGCAAAUAUGAUGUUACUCCCUUGCUGUAAAAUCUUUCACUGACUUCCUAUUAACUUUAAAGUCUAAAUUCUAAUAUAUAUACAAUGAUUUUUAUAAUCUGAUCAUAUCUAAAUGGCAACCUCACUUUCUAUCUAGUUUUCCUUUCCUCCUUGCACUCUCAGAUUACCAAUUUAUUUGUUAUUCCUCCAGAACAGAAUCUAUCACAUGUUAGUGUCUUUGGAUAUGCUGCCCCCACCCUCUGGAAUGCAAUUCACUCUAUUUUCAUCUGUCAAAAUUCCUCUGCAGAAAGCCUGUCUGCCCUGAUUCCCACAAGAUACACAGGCUGUGUUUCUUUUGUGCUCUAAUUGUAGAUGGUGAAUACCAUGCUAUUACUUCUGGAACAGUGCUGUCUGAGUUUCCUGAGGGUCAAAGGUGUGCUUCUGAUUUCUGUAUGUUACUCCUUCACAACGUGUGCUGGGUUCACAGAAGGAACUCAAUAAUUGGAGGAAGAGGAAUUACACAUCAAAGAGUGGGAGAAGUAGACGUAAUUCAGUAUAUUUCAAAUUUUUCAAAUGAUAAUAUAAAAAUUACACAUAGAUCAAAAUUGAAUACAAAAAAUCAACAUAUCAAUAUAAUAAUGUCAAGCAUAAAAUGAUAUAUAAUAUAGCUCACAUGAGAUAAAACUAAGAGUUCACUAUUAGUUUUUUUUUUCUUAAACAGUGGAUGCUAUGGUACCAUUUUACAUCUAUUCCAUUAGCAAAAUAAUAUUAAACAAUCAAAAUAUGUAUUAACAAGGCUGCAGAAAUUCUGCAACAUUCAUAAAUCAUGGAAGCAUUUCUUUAUUCAUGCAUCCAUUCAACCUGCAUUUAUUAUCUGUUCUGUGUUAUGCGUAGUGACAGGAACUGGGGAUACAAAUUGAAUAAGAUAUUGGCCAUGCCCUCAAGGAGAUUAUUGCAAUGAUACAUGAACAGACAGAUUUUAGGAGAUAACUCGAGUGAUAUUUAUGUCAAAAUAGGGGCUACAUCAGGAAAAAAAUUCCAAUGAGGAGAGAAACCUUAAAUUAAUAUUUAAACCAAGAAUAAGGGAGGGAAAAAGUGAGCAAGGUUAAUGAAAGCACAAAGUAAUAAAGUGGGAUGACUCACUCAAGGGCUUAAAUAUUGGUGCAUCAUUUAGAAAAGUAAAUUUAAAAAAGAAUAAUAAUAAAUAUGUUCAUACACUUUGACUCAAUGAGUUUUGUGUUUGGAAAAUUAUGAUGUUAAAACAUUCCAAAGAACAAAAUAUAAUGCCAGUUCAUUUCUAAAGCUAAAGGAAAAGGAAAUAGCUUAAAAGUCCAGAAUUGGGUAACUUAUUAGGUAAAUGAUAGCAUAUUGAUUUACCACAUUAUUAUAUGGUUCUCAAUAUUAUUGAGUAUUGAAAUUAUAUAGCAGCAUGGGAAAAGUUUAUAAAAUGAGGUGGGGGAACAAUGAAAUGCUACAUUUAUGUUACCAGGUUGUGAAUACUGUUUGUUAUUUUUUUCUAGAAGACUUACAGCCUCACUUUUUAUAAAAUGAGGUAUGGGAACAAUGAAAUGCUACAUUUAUGUUACCAGGUUGUGAAUACUGUUUGUUAUUUUUUUCUAGGAGACUUACAGCCUCACUUUUUAUAAAAUGCUUAGACCUAUGAUCCAUUUCAAAUUAAUUUACGUUUAGCAUAUGGGAUAAAAUUUGAGGUUAACUUUGUUUCCAUAUGGGUUUUGUGUUGUUCCAGCAAAAUUUGUUGAAGAGUUUUCUUUUCCCACUGAACUGCUGUGAGGUUUUGGUGAAAAAUCAAUUGACUAUAGAUGAAUGGGCCUCUCUUGGACCUUCUAUUCUAUUUCACUGACCUAGUUGUCUAUCCUUAUGCCACUUCCACACUGCAUUGUAUAUGGCUGCUUUAUAGAGAAUCUUCUAGUUUUGUUAAAUUUACCUAUUUGACUUUGUAGUUGCUUUGUACAUGCCUUAAAAGUUUCUUUGCAGAAAAUCAUGUCAUCUGCAAAAGCAAAGUUUUACAUAUUCCUUUCCAAUUUUAUACACCUCCCCUUUUUAUUGCCCUACUACACUUGCAGGAGCCCUGGUGGCACAGUGGCUAAUGGCUAAGCUGCUAACCGAAAGGUCAGCGAUUCGAAUCCAUCAGCCACACCAUGGGAGUAAGAUGAUGCAGGCUGCUCCUAUAAAAAUAUACAGCCUUGGACAUGCUAUGGAGCAGUUCUACUCUGUCCUAUAGGGUCGAUAUGAGUCAGAAUCGACUCCAUGGCAACCGGAAAUGGGGCUGCAUUUGCAAGGGUCUCUGGUACAAUUUUGGAUAAAGUUAGCAAUACAAAAAAGAAAACAUUAAUCUUAAGGGAACGUCAUUCAAUAUUUUGCCAUAAAAAAUUAUGCUAUUUUCCUUCCUCUAUUGAGAUGAUCACUUGUUUUUCUCUCCUUAUUCUGUUUAAAUGUUGAUUUAUUAAUUUUCAAAUGUUAACCAAAUUGUAUUAGUGAGAUAAACUUGACUUUGUCAUGUUGUAUUGCUCUUUUUGUAUAUUAUAGGAUUCUAGUUGCUAAUAUUUUGUUAAAGAUGCAAUGUCUUAAUUUUUAUUUCUUGUCAUAUCUUUGUCAAGUUUUAGGAUCAGAUUUAUACUCCUCUCAUAAAAAGACUUGCUAUGUAUUCCUUCCUACUCUAUUUUGUAAAAGAGUGUUUAUAUUUGACUUUAUUUUUUCUUAAAAUUUUUAUAAAACCAUCUGGACCUUGAGUUUCCUUUACAGCAAGUUUUUGAUUACAUAUUCAAUUUAUUUUAUGGUCCAAGAGCUAACGUGAUUUUCUCUUUCAACUUGUGUCAGUUUUAGAAAUGUAUGCUUUUUAAGGAAUUUGUAUGUUUUAUCUAAAAUGUUGAAUUUAUUGGAAAAGAAAAGUUAAACUUUAUAUAAGUUAAACAUUUCUGCUCAUUAAAAACACCUUUAAAAGGAUCUGGUUCUGGUUAAGAUGGAAAAAGUGCUCUCUACCUGGAUUCUCACACUGAAUGCAUGGAGCUGCUACCUGAAGACUCUGAAAGGUAAGUGGUAGCAGGGAGGUCGGAGAGAGAAAAAAAAAAAAAAGACCCAAAUUAAGGUCAAUCCAGCAGUGAAUGUCCUUUUUUUUCCUGUUUCUCCAGUGUCCUCUACCCUGAACUCAAAGGCAGCUUGAAAUGCAAAAUUUCACACUUCUUGCGCACAGAGACAUCUCUAACAGAAGCCUUUUCUUUCUGAUCUGAAGAGUUUAAAAGAAGGGUCCAAAGUUAGACUUAUUGUUUUUGUUAGGUGUUGUCCAGUUGUUUCCAACUCAUAAUGACCCUAUGUACAACAGGACGAAACACUGCUCAGACCUGCGCCAUCCUCACAAUUGUUAUGUUUGAGCCUAUUGUUUCAGCCACUGUGUAAAUCCAUCUCCUCGAUGGUUUUCCUCUUUUUCACUGAUCCUUUACCGUACUAAGCACGAUGAUUUUAAGUACCUUGCAACCUGAGGGGCUCAUCUUCUUGCACUAUAUCAGACAAUGUUCUGCUAAUAUUCAUAUGGUUUUCACUGGCCAAUUUUUUCAGAAGUACACAACUAGGACCUUCUCCCUAGUCUGUCUUAGAGUGGAAGCUCAGCUGAAAUAGCAGUGGCAUAGCUAGCUACUAGCUGGUAUUUGAAAUACCAGUGGCAUAGCUGCCAGCAUCACAGCAACAAAGCAACACACAAGCCACCACAGUAUGACAAACUGACAGAUGUGUGGUGGAAGAGUAGAGUGAGGGAAAUCCCCUGGUUCUUGUGUGUGAGUUUGUUGUGUCCAUUUUCCUCCUCCCCUUUCCUCUCACCAGAUAAUACUGAGGGAGCAGUGAUUGUGGUGUGACAGUGAGAACAAUGAUAGCUAGGCAAGUGCCUAUAACCAUGUUUUCAAGGAAGUGAGAAGAAGCCCUGUUGUGUUUUCUGUUUACCCCCUGAUUGUCCUUAAAGGCAGAUGCCAUCACAAAAAUGUGAAACAGAGUAAAAAAACUAAAGUCCCAACUUUCUAGCUACAAGAUGAGUGAAGGAAGCUAAAAUUGUAGCUCCUUAAGAGUGUCAAGAGGUAAAAAUUUGUUAUCCCAUCAAGUUUGUUUAUGAACUCCUGGGAUCGUUCCCAAGCUGUACAUUCAUGGAUCUGAAGAUUAGGGGAAAAAAAAAAAAAGCUUUGAUAACCUGGGGUACAGGACUGCUCCAGUCCCAGUCCCAGAUUUGCCAUGGGGUAGUCCACAUGCAGGACAAACACAAACAGCACGGCAGAUAUUCCCAAGCUGAUAUUAGGUCUGAAUUUGUGAUAACCUAUAAAUGGAGGAAGCCCUAGUGGCGUAGUGGUUAAGAGCUAUGGAUGCUAACCAAAAGGAUGGCAGUUCAAAUCCACCAAGCACUCUUGGAAACUCUUUAGGGCAGUUCUACUCUGUCCUAUAAAGUCACUAUGAGUCAGAAUCGAUUGAAUGGCAGCAGGUUUGGUUUACAUAAAUGAAGACCAAUUUCUUUAUAUAUUUUCUUUAUAUAUUUUCUUUUCAGCCUGCACUGUUGAAAUGGGCCCACACAGAUCUAUGCAGGGUGAAAGGCAUUCAAAGUUCUUGGACCCCUUAUGCCUGUGCCUAGAGAAAGGGGCUGUGCCUGAUCUGAGUUACUGGCUUAGGGGAGCUGACAGAUUACUUUUUCCUUUUUGUUAUUUUAUUCCCUCUUCAAAGCUGGGAGAAUGGCUCAGAGCACAAGAUGGGUCCUACUUCUGGCCCAGGAAGUACAAGAAUCUCUGAAGGCAGGCUGAGACCGUGAGCAGAGUGGGGAGGGGGCAGGUAAAUGGGAGAGAGGUACUUCGCAAAAAGUUUCUUUUUUUUUGAUCUGUGCAGUAGGCUAGACACUUGUACUUUCCCUGAUUGAGUACCAUUUCUUGGUGGUUCUGGAGACUUCAGCAGGCUCUCCACCACUGGGAAAAUGCCUCCUGAGUGCUACUGCUUACCUCACCCCCCCUGAGCUAGCUGAUCCAUCCUGCAGGGUGCUGGUGCCAGCCAGGUCAGGUCUGGCAACUCCUCGCUGCUUCUGAACCAUCUCUACCUCCCCCUGCAGCUCAGUCCAAUUUCUCAACUUAGUCUUUGAUGUUCACCCAGAUUGUCAUAUGUAACCAAUUGACUCGUUUUCAGGGUCUUUGUUGUAAGAGGGACCACAGGAGGCAUCUGACGACUAUGCCGUCUUGGCCCUGCCCAAAAACCAAUUUCUCAAAGCCAAAAAUUAUCAAGAUUUUUCCUAGAAGACAUUGACAAUCUCAAUAGCCCUAUAUCUAUUAAAUAAAUUGCAUUUUAUAAAAAAAAAUCUUUCAAAACUGGUAACUUCAAGCCCAGAUGAUUUCACUGGUCAAUUCUUUCAAACAUUUAAAGAAGAAAAAGCAUCAAUUCCACACAAUCUUUUCCAGAAAAUGGAAGAGAUGGGACCACAUUCCAACUCAUUUAAUGAGGCUAGCAUAUCCUGAUACCUGACAUUCUGACACCAAAACCAGUUUAAGAAAUAAAAAAAAA